GUAUGUCUGUAUGUCUGUGUGUGUGUGUGUGUGUGUAUUUCUACUCCGUCUAGGAGAACUUCCUGUCAGACCAGGUAGAGCAGAGGAGCCGACACUAUUUAUAUGAUCAGCUCAACAAAAUCUACCAACUAAAAAACCCACCCAUUUUCUUACAUACAUUAAUAUUCCUAUUGCGACUACUGCAUGUAUCGUUGUAUUGAAUUUAUCUAAAAAAAUUAACAAAAACCCUGUCACCGCCUUCUAAAAGCCCUGCCCAGCUCCU